rnacentral:snRNA from 1 species
GUGUCAGAAAAGUUACCA